AAAACUUUCAACAACGGAUCUUUUGGUUCUCGCAUCGAUGAAGAACGCAGCGAAAUGCGAUAAGUAAUGUGAAUUGCAGAAUUCAGUGAAUCAUCGAAUCUUUGAACGCACAUUGCGCCCCUUGGUAUUCCGAGGGGCAUGCCUGUUCGAGCGUCAUUA
rnacentral:rRNA from 1 species